rnacentral:rRNA from 1 species
CCUACGGGAGGCUGCAGUGGGGGAUAUUGCACAAUGGGGGAAACCCUGAUGCAGCGACGCCGCGUGUGGGAAGACGGUCCUCUGGAUUGUAAACCACUGUCCCCAGGGACGAAGAUGACGGUACCUGGGGAGGAAGCCCCGGCCCACUACGUGCCAGCAGCCGCGGUAAUACGUAGGGAGCGAGCGUGGUCCGGAAUUACUGGGUGUAAAGGGAGCGUAGGCGGGGAUGCAAGUUGGGUGUCAAAACUCCCGGCUCAACUGGUAGUCGCACUCAAAACUGCAGCUCUUGAGUGAGGUAGCGGCAGGCGGAAUUCCUAGUGUAGCGGUGAAAUGCGUAGAUAUUAGGAGGAACACCCGUGGCGAAGGCGGCCUGCUGGGCUUUGACUGACGCUGAGGCUCGAAAGUGUGGGGAGCAAACAGGAUUAGAUACCCCGGUAGUC